GGUAGAGCACUGUUUCGGCUAGGGGGCCAUCCCGGCUUACCAACCCGAUGCAAACUGCGAAUACCGGAGAAUGUUAUCACGGGAGACACACGGCGGGUGCUAACGUCCGUCGUGAAGAGGGAAACAACCCAGACCGCCAGCUAAGGUCCCAAAGUCAUGGUUAAGUGGGAAACGAUGUGGGAAGGCCCAGACAGCCAGGAUGUUGGCUUAGAAGCAGCCAUCAUUUAAAGAAAGCGUAAUAGCUCACUGGUCGAGUCGGCCUGCGCGGAAGAUGUAACGGGGCUAAACCAUGCACCGAAGCUGCGGCAGCGACGCUGAUGCGUUGUUGGGUAGGGGAGCGUUCUGUAAGCCUGUGAAGGUGGCCUGUGAGGGUUGCUGGAGGUAUCAGAAGUGCGAAUGCUGACAUAAGUAACGAUAAAGCGGGUGAAAAGCCCGCUCGCCGGAAGACCAAGGGUUCCUGUCCAACGUUAAUCGGGGCAGGGUGAGUCGACCCCUAAGGCGAGGCCGAAAGGCGUAGUCGAUGGGAAACGGGUUAAUAUUCCCGUACUUGGUGUUACUGCGAAGGGGGGACGGAGAAGGCUAUGUUGGCCGGGCGACGGUUGUCCCGGUUUAAGCGUGUAGGUGUGUGUUCCAGGUAAAUCCGGUUCACUUUAACACUGAGGCGUGAUGACGAGGCACUACGGUGCUGAAGCAACAAAUGCCCUGCUUCCAGGAAAAGCCUCUAAGCAUCAGGUAACAUCAAAUCGUACCCCAAACCGACACAGGUGGUCAGGUAGAGAAUACCAAGGCGCUUGAGAGAACUCGGGUGAAGGAACUAGGCAAAAUGGUGCCGUAACUUCGGGAGAAGGCACGCUGACACGUAGGUGAAGUGAUUUACUCAUGGAGCUGAAGUCAGUCGAAGAUACCAGCUGGCUGCAACUGUUUAUUAAAAACACAGCACUGUGCAAACACGAAAGUGGACGUAUACGGUGUGACGCCUGCCCGGUGCCGGAAGGUUAAUUGAUGGGGUCAGCGCAAGCGAAGCUCCUGAUCGAAGCCCCGGUAAACGGCGGCCGUAACUAUAACGGUCCUAAGGUAGCGAAAUUCCUUGUCGGGUAAGUUCCGACCUGCACGAAUGGCGUAAUGAUGGCCAGGCUGUCUCCACCCGAGACUCAGUGAAAUUGAACUCGCUGUGAAGAUGCAGUGUACCCGCGGCAAGACGGAAAGACCCCGUGAACCUUUACUAUAGCUUGACACUGAACAUUGAGCCUUGAUGUGUAGGAUAGGUGGGAGGCUUUGAAGUGUGGACGCCAGUCUGCAUGGAGCCGGCCUUGAAAUACCACCCUUUAAUGUUUGAUGUUCUAACGUGGACCCGUGAUCCGGGUUGCGGACAGUGUCUGGUGGGUAGUUUGACUGGGGCGGUCUCCUCCUAAAGAGUAACGGAGGAGCACGAAGGUUGGCUAAUCCUGGUCGGACAUCAGGAGGUUAGUGCAAUGGCAUAAGCCAGCUUGACUGCGAGCGUGACGGCGCGAGCAGGUGCGAAAGCAGGUCAUAGUGAUCCGGUGGUUCUGAAUGGAAGGGCCAUCGCUCAACGGAUAAAAGGUACUCCGGGGAUAACAGGCUGAUACCGCCCAAGAGUUCAUAUCGACGGCGGUGUUUGGCACCUCGAUGUCGGCUCAUCACAUCCUGGGGCUGAAGUAGGUCCCAAGGGUAUGGCUGUUCGCCAUUUAAAGUGGUACGCGAGCUGGGUUUAGAACGUCGUGAGACAGUUCGGUCCCUAUCUGCCGUGGGCGCUGGAGAACUGAGGGGGGCUGCUCCUAGUACGAGAGGACCGGAGUGGACGCAUCACUGGUGUUCGGGUUGUCAUGCCAAUGGCACUGCCCGGUAGCUAAAUGCGGAAGAGAUAAGUGCUGAAAGCAUCUAAGCACGAAACUUGCCCCGAGAUGAGUUCUCCCUGAGACUUAGAGUCUCCUGAAGGAACGUUGAAGACGACGACGUUGAUAGGCCGGGUGUGUAAGCGCAGCGAUGCGUUGAGCUAACCGGUACUAAUGAACCGUGAGGCUUAACCUUACA
rnacentral:rRNA from 1 species